rnacentral:rRNA from 1 species
CUCCUACGGGAGGCAGCAGUGAGGAAUAUUGGUCAAUGGGCGAGAGCCUGAACCAGCCAAGUAGCGUGCGGGAUGAAGGCCCUUGUGGUCGUAAACCGCUUUUAUCAGUGAAUAAAGUGCACCACGUGUGGUGUCAUUGCAGGUAGCUGAAGAAAAAGGACCGGCUAAUUCCGUGUCAGCAGCCGCGGUAAUACGGAAGGUCCGGGCGUUAUCCGGAAUUAUUGGGUUUAAAGGGAGCGCAGGCGGGAGUAUAAGUCAGCUGUUAAAUAUCAGAGCCCAACUCUGUUAUGCAGUUGAAACUAUAUUUCUUGAGUACGCACAGGGAUGGCGGAAUUCAGGGUGUAGCGGUGAAAUGCUUAGAUAUCCUGAAGAACUCCGAUCGCGAAGGCAGCCAUCCGGAGCGUAACUGACGCUGAGGCUCGAAGGUGCGGGUAUCGAACAGGAUUAGAUACCCUGGUAGUCCGCACGGUAAACGAUGAAUACUCGCAGUUCGGCCUUUAUGGUCGAGUUGUCCAGCGAAAGCGUUAAGUAUUCCACCUGGGGAGUACGCCGGCAACGGUGAAACUCAAAGGAAUUGACGGGGGCCCGCACAAGCGGAGGAACAUGUGGUUUAAUUCGAUGAUACGCGAGGAACCUUACCCGGGCUUGAACCAAGAGUGCGGAGUGCAGAGAUGCACUUUUUCUUCGGACACUUUUGGAGGUGCUGCAUGGUUGUCGUCAGCUCGUGCCGUGAGGUGUCGGCUUAAGUGCCAUAACGAGCGCAACCCUUUUCUACGUUUGCCAUCGGGUAAUGCCGGGAACUCCGUGGAUACUGCCGCCGCAAGGCGGAGGAAGGUGGGGAUGACGUCAAAUCAGCACGGCCCUUACGUCCGGGGCUACACACGUGUUACAAUGGUCGGAGCAGCAGGAAGCUACCUGGCGACAGGAUGCUGAUCCCGAAACCCGGCCUCAGUUCGGACUGGAGUCUGCAACCCGACUCCACGAAGCCGGAUUCGCUAGUAAUCGCGCAUCAGCCAUGGCGCGGUGAAUACGUUCCCGGGCCUUGUACACACCGCA